CCUACGGGAGGCAGCAGUGGGGGAUAUUGCACAAUGGGGGAAACCCUGAUGCAGCGACGCCGCGUGGGUGAAGAAGCGCCUCGGCGCGUAAAGCCCUGUCAGCAGGGAAGAAAAUGACGGUACCUGAAGAAGAAGCCCCGGCUAACUACGUGCCAGCAGCCGCGGUAAUACGUAGGGGGCAAGCGUUAUCCGGAUUUACUGGGUGUAAAGGGGGCGCAGGCGGCGAUGCAAGCCAGGAGUGAAAGGCCGGGGCCCAACCCCGGGACUGCACUUGAAACUGCGUGGCUAGAGUGCAGGAGGGGCAGGCGGAAUUCCUGGUGUAGCGGUGAAAUGCGUAGAUAUCAGGAGGAACACCGGUGGCGAAGGCGGCCUGCUGGACUGCAACUGACGUUGAGGCCCGAAAGCGUGGGGAGCAAACAGGAUUAGAUACCCCUGUAGUC
rnacentral:rRNA from 1 species